GGACAAAGUAUGGUUACCACCCCCAAGACGUAUUUGUGUCCAUUUCAGGAGCUGCAGCAGCUUGGGGGUAUCUCAUGAGUUCGAGGACAGCACAAGAUUAAGUGAACAAGAUAACAAAAGAAAAGUCCGGAAUUUCAGACACUGCAGACAGGAACAAAGACCACUUGGAUCUUCUCAGAGGAUGCUCACCCCGGUUUUCUGAAAGAACUCCUUUUGGUGUAGCUGGCCUGGCGAGUGUUGGGGUGAGGGGCUCUUGAAAGCAUUCUGAUGCCAUCUCCUGGUAAGACCAAAGACUGGCCAUGGCCGUGAACACAAGCACUUCGCAAGUCUCCACAGCUGAGCCCUUUGCACCUGCCAUUAUUUUAUGACCCGAAAUUCUCUUGAAUUGGCUGGCGCACCCACGCUUGGCACUGCUUAGCUUCCUGGAGAUCUCAUCUGCAAAGCUGCUAGGUUGAAGUGAUGGAGUUUGCCUUAUCUGCAAACUCCUUCUCUCUCACAGAAACUGUAAUUUGGACAGUUCACACCUCCCCCAGGCCAGUCACUAACACUGUGUUUGAAUCUUCAAACAGAGGCGUUUCCGCACCGAGCUGGUGAGUUAGGCGAGCAACAAAGCUCUAUUUGUAGACCCUCAAGGAUCAGGACAGUCUGGGGUGUGUUUUUUCUGUUUGGUGCAGGAAAGAAGAGAGGUCCAUGACUCCAAUUUCUGGAAUUCGGCAGCCUUCCACAACAUCUCUGGUUGUGUUACACAGAUUUUAACGGAAGAAAAGAGGUCUUUUGGAAGACCAGGAAGCCCAUUCUUGGAAUGCGGAGAGGUGAGGCGUGUGGCGGUUGCUGUGCAUAAGCACACAUUCUGUUUGAGUCUGUUAGGAGCAAAGGACGCGCGUUGGGCAGUAGGUGACUAGGGACCAGCUUCAAGAGCUGUCAGAGACUCAGGUCUGCACGUCAGCUUUAUCCUCACAGCACUCAAGCAGUGGCAGGAGGAGUGUUCAUUAGAGCCUAGGUCCCGUGGAAGAGCUUUUCGCAUGGACAGUGCUAACGGGCUGACGCCCAACACAAUCUUGAAGAGCUGUUUCCCACUCCUGCGGGUUCUCACUCUGUAGCUGAUCCGCAGCUUGUGGUGAUCCUCCUGCCUCAGUCUCCACAGUGCUUGGUCACAGGUGUGACCCAUCAUGCUCCCUCAGCUUUUGGGUCUUAAGGUCAAACUUCAACUGCUCAGAAUGCUUAGCUGAGUUUGGCUCUGGGGAAGAAGCCAGCUGAUCACCUUUCGGGCCAGCCCAUCACCGGUUGUUCACCAGAGACACUUUACAGGAAGUCUCUAGAGGCCUAGAACGUCAUGGCUUUUUGUUAGCUCACAGGAGAAGAUAUAGCACAUAGCUGAGCACCCCAGGCAUGCCGGCUUUGGCUACCCCACAUUGUCCUCUCUCUUCGCUAGAACUUUUCAUCUUAUUUUUUGAGACAGGAUUAUGGUGAUAUUUCAUUUGUACUGAAAUGUGAUUUUAUUUGUAUGUUAAUAAAUAAAGUUGC